GACGGAGGGUGCAAGCGUUGUUCGGAAUUACUGGGCGUAAAGCGCGGGCAGGUGGCCUUUUAAGUCCUUUGUGAAAUUCCGGAGCUCAACUCCGGAUGUGCAUAGGAUACUGGAAGGCUAGAGACUGGUAGAGGCGAGCGGAAUUCCCGGUGUAGCGGUGAAAUGCGUAGAGAUCGGGAGGAACACCAGUGGCGAAGGCGGCUACCUGGACCAGCACUGACACUGAGGCGCGAAAGCUAGGGGAGCAAACAGG
rnacentral:rRNA from 1 species